rnacentral:rRNA from 1 species
UACGUAGGAGGCGAGCGUUGUCCGGAAUCACUGGGCGUAAAGCGCGUGUAGGCGGGCGGGCAAGUCUGCUGUGAAAGCGCCUGGCUUAACCGGGCGAGGUCGGCGGAAACUGCUCACCUGGAGGGCGGUAGAGGGGGGUGGAAUUCCCGGUGUAGUGGUGAAAUGCGUAGAGAUCGGGAGGAACACCUGUGGCGGAAGGCGGCCCCCUGGGGCCCGCACCUGACGCUGGAGACGCGAAGGCGUGGGGAGCGAAGCGGGAUUGAGAAACCC